AUUGAACGCUGGCGGCAGGCCUAACACAUGCAAGUCGAGCGGAUGAAGGGAGCUUGCUCCUGGAUUCAGCGGCGGACGGGUGAGUAAUGCCUAGGAAUCUGCCUGGUAGUGGGGGAUAACGUCCGGAAACGGGCGCUAAUACCGCAUACGUCCUGAGGGAGAAAGUGGGGGAUCUUCGGACCUCACGCUAUCAGAUGAGCCUAGGUCGGAUUAGCUAGUUGGUGGGGUAAAGGCCUACCAAGGCGACGAUCCGUAACUGGUCUGAGAGGAUGAUCAGUCACACUGGAACUGAGACACGGUCCAGACUCCUACGGGAGGCAGCAGUGUGGAAUAUUGGACAAUGGGCGAAAGCCUGAUCCAGCCAUGCCGCGUGUGUGAAGAAGGUCUUCGGAUUGUAAAGCACUUUAAGUUGGGAGGAAGGGCAGUAAGUUAAUACCUUGCUGUUUUGACGUUAUCAACAGAAUAAGCACCGGCUAACUUCGUGCCAGCAGCCGCGGUAAUACGAAGGGUGCAAGCGUUAAUCGGAAUUACUGGGCGUAAAGCGCGCGUAGGUGGUUCAGCAAGUUGGAUGUGAAAUCCCCGGGCUCAACCUGGGAACUGCAUCCAAAACUACUGAGCUAGAGUACGGUAGAGGGUGGUGGAAUUUCCUGUGUAGCGGUGAAAUGCGUAGAUAUAGGAAGGAACACCAGUGGCGAAGGCGACCACCUGGACUGAUACUGACACUGAGGUGCGAAAGCGUGGGGAGCAAACAGGAUUAGAUACCCUGGUAGUCCACGCCGUAAACGAUGUCGACUAGCCGUUGGGAUCCUUGAGAUCUUAGUGGCGCAGCUAACGCGAUAAGUCGACCGCCUGGGGAGUACGGCCGCAAGGUA
rnacentral:rRNA from 1 species